UACGUAGGGUGCGAGCGUUGUCCGGAAUUACUGGGCGUAAAGAGCUCGUAGGUGGUUUGUCGCGUUGUUCGUGAAAACCGGGGGCUUAACCCUCGGCGUGCGGGCGAUACGGGCAGACUGGAGUACUGCAGGGGAGACUGGAAUUCCUGGUGUAGCGGUGGAAUGCGCAGAUAUCAGGAGGAACACCGGUGGCGAAGGCGGCACUCUGGGCCGGUACUGACGCUGAGGAGCGAAAGCGUGGGGAGCGAACAGG
rnacentral:rRNA from 1 species